UGAAGUCAGUCGAAGAUACCAGCUGGCUGCAACUGUUUAUUAAAAACACAGCACUGUGCAAACACGAAAGUGGACGUAUACGGUGUGACGCCUGCCCGGUGCCGGAAGGUUAAUUGAUGGGGUCAGCCCUUCCCCUUGUAAAACCGGGGAAACGGCGAUGCAUUUCAGUACGUUUCCGGCCAGCGAGCCGCAUCCAACUAUCUCACCCUGCCAAUAUGCGCAUACCGCGAUUUCACAAUCAUCUUCCAGGG
rnacentral:rRNA from 1 species